rnacentral:rRNA from 1 species
UACGGAGGGGGCUAGCGUUGUUCGGAAUUACUGGGCGUAAAGCGCGCGUAGGCGGCUUUGUAAGUUAGAGGUGAAAGCCCGGAGCUCAACUCUGGAAUUGCCUUUUAGACUGCAUCGCUUGAAUCAUGGAGAGGUCAGUGGAAUUCCGAGUGUAGAGGUGAAAUUCGUAGAUAUUCGGAAGAACACCAGUGGCGAAGGCGGCUGACUGGACAUGUAUUGACGCUGAGGUGCGAAAGCGUGGGGAGCAAACAGG